rnacentral:lncRNA from 1 species
AAGACAACGAGUUGGUUGACUAGUUUCAAGAAAGAGAAAAUAUUCUAAGUUUUCUUGUUUUCUAGAUCAUAGCUUCAAUGAAAGGAAUUUUUUCGCGCAUAACUACUCUGAUACCAUUUGUGACAUCCUAGAUACUAAAUGUAGUAUAAGGGAGCUAGAUAUAGAAACAGAUUAUGAGUGCUUUAAAAUGAAUUAAAUG